rnacentral:rRNA from 1 species
AACGAACGCUGGCGGCAUGCCUAACACAUGCAAGUCGAACGAGACCUUCGGGUCUAGUGGCGCACGGGUGCGUAACGCGUGGGAACCUGCCCUUAGGUUCGGAAUAACUCCCCGAAAGGGGUGCUAAUACCGGAUAAUGUCUUCGGACCAAAGAUUUAUCGCCUUUGGAUGGGCCCGCGUUGGAUUAGCUAGUUGGUAGGGUAAAAGCCUACCAAGGCGACGAUGCAUAGCUGGUCUGAGAGGAUGAUCAGCCACACUGGGACUGAGACACGGCCCAGACUCCUACGGGAGGGAGCAGUGGGGAAUAUUGGAAAAUGGGCGAAAGCCUGAUCAAGCAAUGAGGCGUGAGUGAUGAAGGCCUUAGGGUUGUAAAGCUCUUUUAACCGGGAUGAUAAUGACAGUACCGGGAGAAUAAGCUCCGGCUAACUCCGUG